rnacentral:rRNA from 1 species
UACCAGACUCCUACGGGAGGCAGCAGUGGGGAAUAUUGCGCAAUGGGCGAAAGCCUGACGCAGCGACGCCGCGUGAGGGAUGAAGGUCUUCGGAUCGUAAACCUCUGUCAGCAGGGAAGAACGGUCACUGUGCUAAUCAGCAGUGAAUUGACGGUACCUGCAAAGGAAGCACCGGCUAAAUACGUGCCAGCAGCCGCGGUAAUACGUAUGGUGCAAGCGUUAUCCGGAUUUACUGGGUGUAAAGGGAGCGUAGGCGGCGCGUUAAGUCUGAUGUGAAAACCCGAGGCUCAACCACGGGAGUGCAUUGGAAACUGGCGGGCUGGAGUGCCGGAGAGGUAAGCGGAAUUCCUAGUGUAGCGGUGAAAUGCGUAGAUAUUAGGAGGAACACCAGUGGCGAAGGCGGCUUACUGGACGGCAACUGACGCUGAGGCUCGAAAGCGUGGGGAGCAAACAGGAUUAGAUACCCGAGUAAG